ensembl:misc_RNA
CCAGCAGCCCCCUUUUUUUUCCAGAGGGUUGUGACCCCGCCUGGGGAUGAGGCCUGGUCUUGUGGAAACUGAACUAGCUUCGCGGGGCUGACCACUCUGGCCCAGGGUGGUAUGUAGU